GGUGGGGGCGACCCCAAGGACAGUGCAACAGAAAUAAACCGCCCGGCUGGCGCGCUACACCAGACGGGUAAGGGUGGAAAGGCGAGGUAAGAGCUCACCGGUUCCCCGGCGACGGGGAGUGCUCUGUAAACCCCAUCCGGCGCAAGGUCAAAAAGAAGCGCAGGCGGCCCGUCCAGCUUCGGGUAUGACCGCUAAAGCCUGCCGGCGACGGCAGGCUCAGAUAGAUGACCGUAUGAAAUAACAGAACUCGGCUUACAGGUUUGCUCAAACU
rnacentral:RNase_P_RNA from 1 species